UGGGGAAUAUUGCACAAUGGGCGCAAGCCUGAUGCAGCAACGCCGCGUGAACGAUGAAGGUCUUCGGAUCGUAAAGUUCUGUUGCAGGGGAAGAUAAUGACGGUACCCUGUGAGGAAGCCCCGGCUAACUACGUGCCAGCAGCCGCGGUAAUACGUAGGGGGCUAGCGUUAUCCGGAUUUACUGGGCGUAAAGGGUGCGUAGGUGGUCUUUCAAGUCGGUGGUUAAAGGCUACGGCUCAACCGUAGUUAGCCUCCGAAACUGGAAGACUUGAGUGCAGGAGAGGAAAGUGGAAUUCCCAGUGUAGCGGUGAAAUGCGUAGAUAUUGGGAGGAACACCAGUAGCGAAGGCGGCUUUCUGGACUGCAACUGAAACUGAGGCACGAAAGCGUGGGUAGCAAACAGG
rnacentral:rRNA from 1 species